rnacentral:lncRNA from 11 species
GAGAGAUACCACAAUGCUGACAACUAAACAAUAAUCCUGUUUCACUAUAUGCAAGGUGGCAAGAAUUACUGAUCCUUUUCAAUGAGGUAAAAAGAUAUGGUUUAGCUGUCAACCACUCUCCUGCCAUACAUUGAGGGUGUCAAAUGCCUGACUAUAUUUGUAUGUUUGUACCUAUACAGCAAAACAAUCCAGGAGAGAGAUGGAACCAGCGGUGAAGGCACCCAAGGUGAAAGCCUCCCCAAAGUCAAGUGAAAAUGAAAAAACAGGAGCACCCCAAAGAGCAGCAGAAAUCAUGGCAAACAGAAAAGACAGGAGCCCUGAACAAACACUGGAGACCACAUUGAAAACACCGGGAACCAGUACAGUACCAAGGAUGGCAACUGCAAAAGCUUCAACAUCUGAUAUAAUACUCAGAGCAGCAGAAAAGGUGGCAAGAUCACAGGUUGAGUUAGUACUGAAAUCAGCAAGAGCAGAGCUGAAACAGAGGAGAAAGGGAAGUUUGAAGCAAAAAGAUCUGCACCAGCUAGAGGAAAAUGGAAUUAAUGAAACUGAAAGGAAAUAAAGGAGCAAAAUAACCAGCAGGCACACAGUAUGUUAGCAACUGAACAAUGUGACCCUGAGAAUUAACUGCAUAUCAAACCCAAUGUCAGUAUUUGUGUCAUCCCUUGGAAACAUUUGACCAAUAAAGGUGCUCUGCAUCCUCAGUUGCAAGCCAUUGUUUGUAUACUUGGAAGAUGGAAAUCUUUGUGUCAUCCUGUAUAUUUGAGGCAUCAUAGUGACGCACAAAAAUAAUUAUUUGACCAGAAUAAAUAAAUAAAUAAAAAUGUACUAAUUCAGCUC